rnacentral:rRNA from 1 species
GACGGGGGGUCCUAGCGUUGUUCGGAAUUAUUGGGCGUAAAGCGUGUGCAGGUUGUUUGAAAAGUUGGAUGUGAAAUCCUUGGGCUUAACCCAAGACGUGCAUUCAAAACUGCCAAACUUGAGUAUGGAAGAGGAUCGUGGAAUUCCUAGUGUAGUGGUGAAAUACGUAGAUAUUAGGAGGAACGCCGGUGGCGAAGGCGGCGAUCUGGUCCAAUACUGACACUCAUACACGAAAGCGUGGGGAUCAAACAGG